GCAAGUCGAGCGAUGAAGCUUCCUUCGGGAAGCGGAUUAGCGGCGGACGGGAGAGUAACACGUGAGCAACCUGCCUCAAAGAGGGGGAUAGCCUUCCGAAAGGAAGAUUAAUACCGCAUAAUAUCAGAAUUUCGCAUGAUUUUCUGAUUAAAGGAGUAAUCCACUUUGAGAUGGGCUCGCGGCGCAUUAGCUAGUUGGUGAGGUAACGGCUCACCAAGGCGACGAUGCGUAGCCGACCUGAGAGGGUGAUC
rnacentral:rRNA from 1 species